CGUAAUUGAACAGCCAGCUCAUGAACUGCAGCUUCAUUCAAAGGGGGGCUGAAACAUUCCAUCCGUGUAAAAUGACAUCCGUUUAAAAGUGGCAAAAAAUAAUCUUGUUCAACGUAUGAACCCUAAUGGUCACUUGCUCCCUCCUAUGCCAGCAGCAGUGUUUUUGUGGACAUGUUGGUCCUGGGAUAUGAGAGACAGUGGGUGAGGUAAUAUCUUUUAUUGGACCAACUUCUGUUGAUGGAAGGGACAGGCCUUCAAGCCUCACAGAUCUGUUGCACAGGUCUGAGGAAGAUUCUGUUCACGCAAAACUUUAUGCAUGAAAGGACAGGAGGAAUCAAGAUAAGGGAAAAUGUCAGAAGAAUAUUAUCUCUUUCUACAUAUACUUGUACUUUCUGACUGGCAAUAAGAAUCCCUAUUAUACCUUGCUUUUGUCUACCUUGUUAUGCCUAACAUUCCAAUGCAACAAGAAUGGGGAUGAAGGAUAGCUUUGCUUGAUGCCUUUUCAAAAUUACAAAGUCUUCAAAGUCAAUCCGUUCAGACCGAUAUAGGUAGACAAUACCCAGCAUUCAGUGAACGUGAUGAAUAUUACACUGAAUGCAAAAAUGUAUACAGGGCAACAAAGGAAAAUGUGAUGUUUCACACUGAAGCUUUCACAUGUCUUCAGUGCUUUGUGUGACUUUCUGCCUUCAUUGCUGAAUAUACAUACUUUUUCAAAAUCUAUUGAAAGAGCUGCCAAAAAGGUAAUUCACAUUUUUAUGGGAGGAGGGAACAAAACAUUUAAUUAUAGUGUUAAAUAUAGCAAGAGUUCCCCUCCACUCUUCCCAGAAAUGCCCUUUUCUUUCAACAAAUGAUUUUUGGAGAUUGUGUGUUUUGAUUGAAACUGCCAGAUUUCGCUUUGUUAAAGUCAGAAUUAAUAAUUGGGGUUGCUAGCCACACAAAAGCAGAAAGAGAGAGAGAAAUAUGUUGCCAAAUCCUCAGCUGGUGUAAAUUGAUAUAGCUCCAUUGACGUGAAAGGAGCUGUGCCAGUUUAUACCAGGCAAGGACCUAUUGAAUUUUACAAGAAUGCUGUCCUUAAUUAUUUUUUAAAAUGCAGGGCCAGAGGUUUAAUCGCAUCUAUAAUUUCUCUCAUCAACCUAUCUAUAUCCAAUCAUGCUAACGUUUUGCUCACCUUCAACUUUUUUAAAAAGCAUUUCUUCCUGGUUCUAAACAACAUAAAUUUGGUUUCCUCAUCAAGAAGCUCAUUUAGCUGCAGCUUGAUUGCAAGUAAUUUGCCCUAACUGUCUCCGUGUUUUAAUUGUUUGUGCCUUUUUCUAAUCUAUAAACUGUAACUUCAGGCAGGCCAUUUUUUGUCUUACCAUUUCCUCUUUGGAAAGGCAUAUCUAAUAACCCACCUCAUAUCCUGUGGCUUUAGGCAUCUGAAAUCAUAUGAACAGAAGGAAUAGACUCUCCAUUCAACUCCACAUUCAUUUAAAAAAAAACCCUCCAUAAAAUCUCUUUCCUUUGAAAAAGGAAAAUUAAAACUUCAUCCAGGAAAUUUAGUUUCAUUUUUGUUGGGAAUAAUUAUGCAUCACCACCAAUACAGAACUGACUAGCCACUCAGGUUCCACAAUGUUUUCCUGUGAUUUCUGAAAUGUGAAAAUCAAAAUACCAAUUUGGGCACAGCUAAAAUAUUUAAAUUAGCCAGAGUCCAGUGAAUGUUAUUCCCACAACUCCGAAUUGGCACCAUUUACUCUACUGGAGACAGAAUUCACGAGCUCAUUAGAGUCUCUGGACUUACUCAAGUAAAGCUAUGCAUUAAGAUAGCCUUUUUAAAGUAAUGUCAUUAGGAGCUCUACCAACUAUGGUAUCCAUGCCAAAUCUCUUUAAUUCCUUCAGCCUAAUUCCUUUUGCCCCCAAAGUAAAUCACAACAUAUUACCCAGAUUAGCAAUACAUUCAGGAGUAAUCCGCCCCCAAACAUGAGAGUUCUAUUUUUUUUUCUGAUCUCCAAACUUUUGUUUGUGUUAAUUAUUCUAAAGCUAGCUGACAGAGUGAACAAUACUCUUUCCCCCUCUUUUGUGAAUAGCAAUGAAGGUAUUUGCGUAACUAUUUUUUCUGUCACAAAAUAAGGCGUUUCCUUUGCAUUUUUCUGAUCAAACCCCUGCUCCUGCUCUCAGAGAAGUCAAUGGCAAAGCUCCCAAAUGAAUGUUCUCAGCUUGGUCUUCUUUUAGGGCAUCUGAACAGAGUGUACAACACACACAGGAAUUAGGCAGCCUUGGGAUAGUGAAAGAAGGCCAAUAAAAAUAAUAUUUCUAAGUUUUGAAAGAUAAAACUCCCAGGACAGGCAUUUUAUCAUGUGAUCUCAAGCCUCUGGUUAAGUAUUGUAUUUUGUCUGAUGGGUGCUGGGGAUUCUAUCUAGCAGAGAGCUUUCAUAAAAAGGAAUGAGAAGUAUUUUGUGAGUUGAUAAUAAACAUUUGGAAAGCUUUAUCACUGCUGAGAGAUAUUUUCCUUUCCAGUGUUUAAACCGCUACAAAUAACAAGAAUAAAUUAUGAAAUGAAGAUUGCUUUAAUGCAGUUCAGCUUCAGAAAAACACUGUUGUGCUGUUUUAAUUACGUCUUCAUAUCAGAUUUCUGUGAAAGAACCUAUAUUCAUGUACAUAUAUAGGUAAAUACACACACACACGUGUAUACAGUAUAUAUGCAUAUCCCUCAUAACAAUCCAUUUUCUUAAUCAAUAAAAGAAAGCAAUAGAUUGGAGAGCCAAAAGACUUUGCCAGCAUCACCACUACUAAGCCUUUUGGGAAGAGGCUAUAUUGGCCUUGAAAUGGAGUUUCAGUUUUCAAAGCGAGGUGGCUCACUCCAAGUCAGAUAAGUGUAAAAACAGCCACUCAUGUAACUGAAGC